AGGGAUCAGGAUGGCAGAGCCAGGGCCCAGGAGGAGCGCCACACCCGGCCGCCAGGGAUGUGGCAGGAAAGUAACUGCUGCCCGGGAAGAACACUACACUCCGAAGGGGCGAGCAAAGGCCCUGAGGCAUAAAGCCGGGCCUCUAGGGAACUGUCCGGGCAGCGGGGGUUGGACAAGAGGGCACUCGGGAGGUGGGAGAUCAGAGAGAAGCCACAGGAAGAGGAACAAGAAAACGAGGGUCUGCUCAGAGCAGAGGAAUUGGAGAAGGAAAUGGGAGCCGCUAAAGGGUUUUCACAGAGUGACUCACCCUGGUUCCUGCUUUGGAGUGACCAGCUGGGAAGCUGGAGGACAAGAGGGUGCGGAGGUGCCUAUACGUGAGGCAGGGCUGACGGCGGAGGGGGACCGGGCUUGGGCGUCCCCAGCGUCAGCACACGUUUGGGAAGUGACCGCACAUCCUCUGCCUUUGCAGCCCCUGCUGAUUCUUUAAGUGCCUCGUCCCUUUACUCACUUUAGAAACAGGGCGAGGAGGGACAUCGGGACCGCGGGAGAACCUGGGCCGCCAGCCCCUGGCGUCACGGCAUCUAAGCACACGAGGCCCGUCACCCGCGCUCUGCUCUGCCGCGAAGGGCAGAGGGGAGAGACCAGAGAGGCACGGGGACAGGCACAGGGACGGGUGGGAGAGCCCAGAGCUGAUGGGUGGAGGCAGGAAUCGCGUUGAUCUUCCUGUGGGUCCUUUAGCAGCAGCUGGGUGUUAAUGGAAAGAGCACCAGCUUCACAUCAGAGCAGAAUUAGAGCUACAGCUGUGUGUUGUUAGGCAAGGUACUUACCCUCUCUGUUCCUCAGCUUCCCAGUUUAUCAAAUGAGACUGUUACCAACUUUACCAACGUUUGUGGAUUAAGAUACAUAGCAAAUGUUCAAUGCACGGAGGCGAUCUCAGAUUUUCUGUAAUAAUAUAACUCAUUACUUUUUUUAUUACAUAAAAGUAGUGUAUGCUUGACCGCAAACGAAAGAAGAAGAAAGAAAAAGAAAAUCUAGAAAAGUCUAAAGAAUCAAAUGAGCGUCAUUGGAAGCCUCUCGGGGGCCUGGCGCCCACUCAGGGCCCUUCUUCCCUCUGCGAAUGAAAACAUGUAGAUGCUCUGAAACCAGAAAGCCAAGGUGCAUGUCAGGUCACCGGUGGAAGUCCCUCGUCACUCAGGGACACCCGUGGACGUUGGUUCAAGUAAAAAAAAGAACCUGCCGUUCUGCGCGGUCGUUUCCUUGCUCAACCCACCUGCGCGUUGGGCAGACGGGGGGCGCCGGGCCCGUCCCCCGCUUCUCCCCUUAACGCUGCUGUCGCAGAGCUGGAAGCAAACGCCCGCUCUCUGUCGCGGUGGCCAUUGUCACCUCUGAUGCAUGAUGGCUCCGGAGCGCCCCCGUUGCCCCGUCCCCUCCCCGGGUUUCUCUUCCCUCGGUCUGUGACGACGCUGCCGUGGCCCUGUGCGGCCUCCGCCGUGGCCAGGUGGUCACUCAGGAGGAGCAGGCACAGCAGCGUGGACCCCGAUCCGGUUUCUCCUCCAGGGCCGAUUCCUGGAGGGACUUUCCAAAGGCUUUAAUGGCAUGUGACACAUCGCCCUUCAGAGAGACGCUGCCCGUUCACAGCCCAGCAGGGCCGGCCCUGGACAGCUGGGGGGCGGGUGACGCAGGGACAUUAAAGGGAGAGACGCGGAGAGGAGGGCGGAGGCCUCGUGACCCCAGGGCCAGCCCCGGCCAGGGGGCGCCCAGGGCCCAGGCACAGCCCACGGGUGACCGUGACGGAUUAAGUCCUGACGCAAUGGUUCCGUCGAACCCGGGGACAAAGCGAGGCAGAGACUCUUGGGUCUGAUUGGAGCUGCUUUUCCAGAGAAGUCGGGAGCAGCCGCCCGGCUGCAGGACAGAAGGGGACACAGAGCUGCGGCAGCCCCGGGGUCCCACGCAGAGCUCCCGGGGGGCCAGGCAGGAGGACCCGCUGCCCUGCGGCAGCCGUCACCGUGGCCAAGCGGGCUCUGGGCUGGGGCCUGGCCAAGGGCCUGGCUGGGAGGGCAG
rnacentral:lncRNA from 1 species